AUUGAACGCUGGCGGCAUGCUUUACACAUGCAAGUCGAACGGUAACAGGCCUUCGGGUGCUGACGAGUGGCGAACGGGUGAGUAAUGCAUCGGAACGUACCCAGAGGUGGGGGAUAACGCAGCGAAAGCUGUGCUAAUACCGCAUGUGAUCUGAGGAUGAAAGCGGGGGACCGAGCAGCAAUGUUUGGCCUCGCGCCUUUGGAGCGGCCGAUGUCGGAUUAGCUAGUUGGUGGGGUAAAGGCCUACCAAGGCGACGAUCCGUAGCUGGUCUGAGAGGACGACCAGCCACACUGGGACUGAGACACGGCCCAGACUCCUACGGGAGGCAGCAGUGGGGAAUGUUGGACAAUGGGCGCAAGCCUGAUCCAGCAAUGCUGCGUGCGGGAAGAAGGCCUUCGGGUUGUAAACCGCUUUUGGCAGGAACGAAACGGUGUCCGCUAAUACCGGGCGCUAAUGACGGUACCUGCAGAAUAAGCACCGGCUAACUACGUG
rnacentral:rRNA from 1 species